GCGUAGGGUACGUAGGCGGAUAUUUAAAAAUAUAGUAAAAGACUGAGGUAAACCCUCUUUAUUCUAUAUUCACUGAAUAUCUGAGUUUUGAAGGUGGUUUAUUGAAUUCUUGAAGAAAGGGUGAAAUUGUUGAUAUUGGAAGACAUUCGAUAGCGAAAGCAUUAACCAAUUCUGAUCUGACGCUAGGUACUAAAGUAUGGGGAUAAAUAGGAUUAGAGACCUAGUAGUCCAUACCUUAAACAAUGAGUGUUCAACGUCUUUUGAUAGGUGCGGUUCUAGCCUGCACAAUUUUUUGUGCAGUAUUUAUUUAUUAGCUAAGAGCUUGUACGUAUUUUUGGGGGUUUAAAGCUAACGCGUGAAACACCGCCUGGGGAAUGUGGCCGCAAGGUUAAACUCAAAGGAAUUGACGGAGACUUAUACAAGG
rnacentral:rRNA from 1 species